rnacentral:rRNA from 1 species
CCUACGGGUGGCAGCAGUGAGGAAUAUUGGUCAAUGGGCGGAAGCCCGAACCAGCCAAGUAGCGUGCAGGAUGACGGCCCUACGGGUUGUAAACUGCUUUUAUACGGGAAUAACGCGCCUUACGUGUAGGUCUUUGCAUGUACCGUAUGAAUAAGGACCGGCUAAUUCCGUGCCAGCAGCCGCGGUAAUUCGGAAGGUCCGGGCGGUAUCCGGAUUUAUUUGGUUUAAAGGGAGCGUAGGCCGCAGGGCAAGCGUGCUGUGAAAUGUCCGGGCUCAACCCGGGCCUUGCAGCGCGAACUGGCGUGCUUGAGUCCGCGGAAAGCAGGCGGAAUUCGUCGUGUAGCGGUGAAAUGCUUAGAUAUGACGAAGAACCCCGAUUGCGAAGGCAGCUUGCUGCAGCGGAACUGACGCUGAUGCUCGAAAGCGCGGGUAUCGAACAGGAUUAGAUACCCUUGUAGUC